AUAACAGCUGGAAACGGUUGCUAAUACCGCAUGAGCCUCUUUUGUCGCAUGACGGGAGAGGGAAAGAGAAAUCGGUGAGAGAUGGAUCCGCGUCCGAUUAGCUAGUUGGAGGGGUAAAAGCCCACCAAGGCGACGAUCGGUAGCCGACCUGAGAGGGUGGACGGCCACAUUGGGACUGAGACACGGCCCAAACUCCUACGGGAGGCAGCAGUGGGGAAUAUUGCACAAUGGGGGAAACCCUGAUGCAGCAACGCCGCGUGAGUGAGGAAGUAUUUCGGUAUGUAAAGCUCUAUCAGCAGGGAAUAGAAAAGAAGGUACCUGAAAAAGAAGCCCCGGCUAACUACGUGCCAGCAGCCGCGGUAAUACGUAGGGGGCAAGCGUUAUCCGGAUUUACUGGGUGUAAAGGGAGCGUAGACGGAAAGGCAAGUCAGAAGUGAAAACCCAAGGCUCAACCAUGGGACUGCUUUUGAAACUGUCAAACUAGAGUACGGGAGAGGUAAGAGGAAUUCCUAGUGUAGCGGUGAAAUGCGUAGAUAUUAGGAGGAACACCAGUGGCGAAGGCGUCUUACUGGACCGAAACUGACGUUGAGGCUCGAAAGCGUGGGGAGCAAACAGGAUUAGAUACCCUGGUAGUCCACGCGGUAAACGAUGAAUACUAGGUGUUGGGGUAAAGAAACCUCGGUG
rnacentral:rRNA from 1 species